rnacentral:tRNA from 89 species
GCGGAAAUGGCGGAAUUGGUAGACGCACCAGAUUUAGGUUCUGGCGCCGCAAGGUGUGAGAGUUCAAGUCUCUCUUUCCGCACCA